UACAGAGGUCCCAAGCGUUGUUCGGAUUCACUGGGCGUAAAGGGUGCGUAGGUGGUGAGGUAAGUCGGAUGUGAAAGCUCGGAGCUCAACUCCGAAAUGGCAUUGGAAACUACCUUGCUCGAGGGUUGGAGGGGGGACUGGAAUACUUGGUGUAGCAGUGAAAUGCGUAGAUAUCAAGAGGAACACCAGUGGCGAAGGCGAGUCUCUGGACGACACCUGACACUGAGGCACGAAAGCUAGGGGAGCAAACAGG
rnacentral:rRNA from 1 species